AAAACCUUAAGUUAUAAAAACUAUGGGCCUUCAAAGCCUAAAUUAGAAUCAUUUGUUCUAGGUUUUG
rnacentral:tRNA from 1 species